rnacentral:rRNA from 1 species
GACGAACGCUGGCGGCGUGCCUAAUACAUGCAAGUUGAGCGCUGAAGGUUGGUACUUGUACCAACUGGAUGAGCAGCGAACGGGUGAGUAACGCGUGGGGAAUCUGCCUUUGAGCGGGGGACAACAUUUGGAAACGAAUGCUAAUACCGCAUAAAAACUUUAAACACAAGUUUUAAGUUUGAAAGAUGCAAUUGCAUCACUCAAAGAUGAUCCCGCGUUGUAUUAGCUAGUUGGUGAGGUAAAGGCUCACCAAGGCGAUGAUACAUAGCCGACCUGAGAGGGUGAUCGGCCACAUUGGGACUGAGACACGGCCCAAACGCCUACGGGAGGCAGCAGUAGGGAAUCUUCGGCAAUGGACGAAAGUCUGACCGAGCAACGCCGCGGGAGUGAAGAAGGUUGUCGGAUCGUAAAACUCGGUUGGUAGAGAAGAACGUUGGUGAGAGUGGAAAGCUCAUCAAGUGACGGUAACUACCCAGAAAGGGACGGCUAACUACGUG